rnacentral:rRNA from 1 species
UACGAAGGGGGCUAGCGUUGUUCGGAAUUACUGGGCGUAAAGCGCGCGCAGGCGGUUUUCAAGUCAGUGGUGAAAGCCCGGAGCUCAACUCCGGAACUGCCAUUGAAACUGUAAAACUUGAGGACGAGAGAGGUGAGUGGAAUUCCCAGUGUAGAGGUGAAAUUCGUAGAUAUUGGGAAGAACACCGGUGGCGAAGGCGGCUCACUGGCCCGGUACUGACGCUGAGGCGGCGAAAGCUAGGGAGCGAACGGG